rnacentral:rRNA from 1 species
AUUGAACGCUGGCGGCAUGCCUAACACAUGCAAGUCGAACGAGUGGCGGACGGGUGAGUAAUGUCUGGGAACCUGCCCGAUGGAGGGGGAUAACUACUGGAAAGGGUAGCUAAUACCGCAUACCAUCGGAUGUGCCCAGAUGGGAUUAGCUAGUAGGGGGGGUAAAGGCUCACCAAGGCAACGAUCCCUAGCUGGUCUGAGAGGAGGACCAGCCACACUGGAACUUAGACACGGUCCAGACUCCUACGGGAGGCAGCAGUGGGGAAUUUUGGACAAUGGGCGAAAGCCUGAUGCAGCCAUGCCGCGGGUAUGAAGAAGGCCUUCGGGUUGUAAAGUACUUUCAGCGAGGAGGCGUUACUCGCAGAAGAAGCACCGGCUAACUCCGUGCCAGCAGCCGCGGUAAUUC